GAAAACAAUGGCUUCGGAGCUCAUCUGCAGACCGGAGCGGGUGAAGCACAGAAGUUAAAAUGUGGUUGAAUUGUGGUUAUAACCUCUUGUUCUGGGACCCAGAAGCUUGAAAUCAAGAUGUUGCCAUGUUUCUCCAUGGACUCCAGGGGAGAGAAUCCAUUCUGCUUCUCAUCUAGUUGUUUUGUGGCUGCCUGCAGUCCCUUGCAAUCCUUGGCCAGCAACAGGAUUUACUCAAUGUCAUUUCCAGAAGUAACACCUCAAGAAACACUUUCAGAAACAGCUUCUCAAUUCCAAGAUACUGAUACUUUUAGCAGCCAGAAAAGAAUUUCUCAAAUCAUUUUAAAGGCAGGUUUUUUAAAAAUAGCAAGAGACCUUUUUUUCUAAAAAAAUUGUGUAUAAAUUUUACAGGCAUUAG